rnacentral:rRNA from 1 species
UACGUAGGUGGCAAGCGUUGUCCGGAAUUAUUGGGCGUAAAGAGCUCGUAGGCGGUCUGUCACGUCUGCUGUGAAAACUCGGGGCUUAACCCCGGGCCUGCAGUGGGUACGGGCAGACUAGAGUGCGGUAGGGGAGACUGGAAUUCCUGGUGUAGCGGUGAAAUGCGCAGAUAUCAGGAGGAACACCGGUGGCGAAGGCGGGUCUCUGGGCCGUAACUGACGCUGAGGAGCGAAAGCGUGGGGAGCGAACAGG